rnacentral:rRNA from 1 species
AUUCCAGCUCCAAUAGCGUAUAUUUAAGUUGUUGCAGUUAAAAAGCUCGUAGUUGGAUUUUGGUUAAGAGGGCGCGGUCGGCCGUUUGGUCUGUACUGCGUUGUCUUGACUUCCUGAUGAGGACAUGCUCUUGGUUAACGCUGAGACAUGGAGUCAUCGUGGUUACUUUGAAAAAAUUAGAGUGUUCAAAGCGGGCUUACGCUUGAAUAUAUUAGCAUGGAAUAACACUAUAGGACUCCUGUCCUAUCUCGUUGGUCUCGGGAUGGGAGUAAUGAUUAACAGGGACAGUCAGGGGCACUCGUAUUCCGCCGAGAGAGGUGAAAUUCUCAGACCAGCGGAGGACGAACCACUGCGAAAGCAUUUGCCAGGGAUGUUUUCAUCA